CACGUAGGGCGCAAGCGUUGUCCGGAAUUAUUGGGCGUAAAGAGCUCGUAGGCGGUUUGUCGCGUCUGCUGUGAAAACUCGGGGCUUAACUCCGGGCCUGCAGUGGGUACGGGCAGACUAGAGUGCGGUAGGGGAGACUGGAAUUCCUGGUGUAGCGGUGAAAUGCGCAGAUAUCAGGAGGAACACCGGUGGCGAAGGCGGGUCUCUGGGCCGUAACUGACGCUGAGGAGCGAAAGCGUGGGGAGCAAACAGG
rnacentral:rRNA from 1 species